UACAGAGACUGCGAGCGUUAUUCGGAUUCACUGGGCGUAAAGGGUGCGCAGGUGGCCGUGUGUGUGAGGCGUGAAAGCCCGGGGCUUAACCCCGGAAUUGCACCUCAAACUACAUGGCUAGAGCAUUGGAGAGGGUAGCGGAAUUCACGGUGUAGCAGUGAAAUGCGUAGAUAUCGAUGAGGAACACCAGAGGCGAAGGCGGCUACCUGGACAAU
rnacentral:rRNA from 1 species